rnacentral:rRNA from 1 species
UACGUAGGGUGCGAGCGUUAAUCGGAAUUACUGGGCGUAAAGCGUGCGCAGGCGGUUUGUUAAGACAGAUGUGAAAUCCCCGGGCUUAACCUGGGAACUGCAUUUGUGACUGGCAAGCUAGAGUAUGGCAGAGGGGGGUAGAAUUCCACGUGUAGCAGUGAAAUGCGUAGAGAUGUGGAGGAAUACCGAUGGCGAAGGCAGCCCCCUGGGCCAAUACUGACGCUCAGGCACGAAAGCGUGGGGAGCAAACAGG